rnacentral:tRNA from 1 species
GUGGGUGUAGCUCAGUUGGUUAGAGCACCAGGUUGUGGCCCUGGGGGCCGGGGGUUCAAAUCCCCUCACUCACCCCA